rnacentral:rRNA from 2 species
AGAGUUUGAUCCUGGCUCAGAUUGAACGCUGGCGGCAUGCCUAACACAUGCAAGUCGAGCGAGGGGGCGACCCCUAGCGGCGGACGGGUGAGUAACGCGUGGGAACGUGCCCUUCGGUUCGGGAUAGCCCCGGGAAACUGGGAGUAAUACCGGAUACGCUCUGCGGAGGAAAGAAUUUCGCCGAGGGAUCGGCCCGCGUUGGAUUAGCUUGUUGGUAGGGUAACGGCCUACCAAGGCGACGAUCCGUAGCUGGUCUGAGAGGACGAUCAGCCACACUGGGACUGAGACACGGCCCAGACUCCUAUGGGAGGCAGCAGUGGGGAAUCUUAGACAAUGGGGGAAACCCUGAUCUAGCCAUGCCGCGUGAGUGACGAAGGCCCUAGGGUCGUAAAGCUCUUUCCAGCUGUGAAGAAAAAGACGGUAGCCAGCAGAAGAAACCCCCGGCGAACCUGCCCGUGCCAGCAGCCCGCGGUAAUACGGAGGGGGUUAGCGUUGUUCGGAAUUUACUGGGCGUAAAGCGCGCGUAAGCGGACUAUUAAGUCGAGGGGUGAAAUCCCGGGGGCUCAACCCCGGAACUGCCUUCGAUACUGGUAGUCUUGAGUUCGAGAGAGGUGAGUGGAAUUCCGAGUGUAGAGGUGAAAUUCGUAGAUAUUCGGAGGAACACCAGUGGCGAAGGCGGCUCACUGGCUCGAUACUGACGCUGAGGUGCGAAAGUGUGGGGAGCAAACAGGAUUAGAUACCCUGGUAGUCCACACCGUAAACGAUGAAUGCCAGACGUCGGGUAGCAUGCUAUUCGGUGUCACACCUAACGGAUUAAGCAUUCCGCCUGGGGAGUACGGUCGCAAGAUUAAAACUCAAAGGAAUUGACGGGGGCCCGCAACAACGGUGGAACAAUGGUUAAUUCGAAGCAACGCGCAGAACCGUACCAACCCUUGACAUCCCUAUCGCGGUUACCAGAGAUGGUUUCCUUCAGUUUCGGCUGGAUAGGUGACAGGUGCUGCAUGGCUGUCGUCAGCUCGUGUCGUGAGAUGUUCGGUUAAGUCCGGCAACGAGCGCAACCCACAUCCUUAGUUGCCAGCAGUUCGGCUGGGCACUCUAGGGAAACUGCCCGUGAUAAGCGGGAGGAAGGUGUGGAUGACGUCAAGUCCUCAUGGCCCUUACGGGUUGGGCUACACACGUGCUACAAUGGUGGUGACAGUGGGUUAAUCCCCAAAAACCAUCUCAGUUCGGAUUGUCGUCUGCAACUCGACGGCAUGAGGUCGGAAUCGCUAGUAAUCGCGUAACAGCAUGACGCGGUGAAUACGUUCCCGGGCCUUGUACACACCGCCCGUCACACCAUGGGAGUUGGUUCUACCUGACGAUGCUGCGCUAACCUUCACAGGAGGCAGGCGGCCACGGUAGGAUCAGCGACUGGGGUGAAGUCGUAACAAGGUAGCC